CAGCUUAUCUGGUGGGGGAAAGACAAUGACCAUGAAGGUUGUGCUCCCAGGAUGAGGCUAUCCCAUUGUACUCUGGGUGUGCUGACGCCUGUGAUGUCCCUGAACGUGGAUACUCAGCUGCAGAAUUUGUGGUCUUGGGGGACUGUGUUCGCGCUUUUUAA